rnacentral:rRNA from 1 species
UACGUAGGUGGCAAGCGUUGUCCGGAUUUACUGGGCGUAAAGAGCGCGCAGGCGGUCGUUCAAGUCGCGUGUGAAAGCCCCCCGGCUCAACUGGGGAGGGUCACGCGAUACUGAUCGACUCGAAGGCAGGAGAGGGUAGUGGAAUUCCCGGUGUAGUGGUGAAAUGCGUAGAUAUCGGGAGGAACACCAGUAGCGAAGGCGGCUCGCUGGGCCACACCUGACGCUGAGACGCGAAAGCUAGGGGAGCGAACAGG